UUUGACAAGUGUCCAACCUAUAUAGUCGACAGUGUUUUAUUUGAAUGGUUGACAAGUGUCUUGCUGAUUCAAAAUUCAAACAUAAAAUAAGAUAUAGUAGAUAUAGACAAAAAGCAAAGUAAAGCAGUAAAUUGGGCGCCAACUUUCCCGCACAACUCUUUCAACAAUCAAUCUGCAAUUUUCCUCCAUAAGCCUGACUCCAUUUUUAUUCCUACCAUUUUAUUAUUACUUUUGGAUGCUCUUUUGCGUGUUGAAUGCCCAAAAAGUAAAUCGAAUAGUGAGUGGCAUUGCUAAUUAAAUCCCAAUUUGCAAAGUUGAUGGUCGUUGAAAAUCAGCCAUUGAGAGUUUUCUGUGUUGUAGGGUGUAAGCAUUGGAAGAUUGAAGGGUGUUUUGGAGAAUGAUGAGGAGGAGGGAGAGAGGCAUGUGUUGAUGUUGAUUUGAGGGUAUAAUGUCAUUGUCUUUGUUCUUCUUGGAGUUAUGAGUAUCUGCUUGAAAGCAGAGUGUCUCCUAUUUAAGCAGCGUUGGCACGAAAGGCGUCCAAGAUGGUGAAAGAUAGGCUCUUCCGUUGGAUCUGCAAGUUUGUGGCCACAAGAAGGUUGGAAUUCUUUUUCUCUACGCCAUCUCCGCCGCCUUCUUCAUCUGGAUUCUCUAUGUUGAAAAAGUCUUCCAGUAUCUUCAAAUCCAGCAUUACCAUGGCAGCUAGAUUUGAGAUAAACCUCUCAUCUUGGCAUCGAUGGAGAGCCGGGCUGGGCCCAUUUACAGAAGGGGAAUGUAGUCAGAGCUUCUAAUUGGAAGAUUGACAACCUUGAAGUGACAUCAUCAGCAUCUGUUGCCCUUGAGUAUUGCAACCAAUCCACCAACUCACAGGCUCAAAACGUUACUCAACAAGACUCGGGAGAUGCGGUGGAUGACUCUUACUUUUUCUAAUGAAGAUGAUGAUGAUCGAGCCAUCGAGGUACACAUGGUAGUAUAUCAUUCGGUUAUGAUGGGGAAGGAGAUGAAUCAGAAUCUGAAAGAUGAAAACUGGAAUCAUAUGCAACAGAGUUGAGUGGAGCUACUAAAGGUAUUCAUGAACCUAUAGUUGUACAAAGUACCAUCGAAGUAGACAUCCUUGAUGAUGGUUAUCAGUGGAGGAAAUCACAACCCGAGGAGUUACUUCAGGUGCACCAAUGUAGGCUGCACUGUGAGGAAACACGUUGAGAGAGCAUCACAUGACCUUAAAUCUGUGACAUACGAGGGCAAGCAGAACCAUGAUGUUCCUGCCACACGCUCUAGCAGUAAUGUUUGGAUUAAAACUGAAUUAGGAAUAGCAGAACACAUUUGGCAUGCAUAUCAUAAGUGCUUCUGCAUAUGUUUCUCAUCAUUUUAUAUAUUCUAGAAUAUGCUUCUUCACGUUUUUGAACGAAUAAUCAGCAAACAAUUAAGGUGCGAAUUAUUAGUAUAUAAUUUUGUUUUUGAAUGAAUAAUCAAUAUCUAGUAUGUCUUCUGGAAGAUUGAUGGUAGAACAUUGCAUACUUCUUAGAUCUUAUUACCACUAAGCUAUUUGUUCAA